UUCUUCAAAUGAUUUGAGUUUUUAUUAUUAUAGUCACAGUGAAAGAUCAUUCAUCAUGAUCAAAGAUACAGUUAUAUACAAUGGAAUUAUCCUCAUGAGUUCUGAAGAGGGUUGGGCUACACUUUAUUUUAAGGUGUCCUUUUUACACUGUUAUACUGAGUAAUAUUGAUUAACUACAUGUACAUAUGGUUAAGGUUAGGAUUAGGGUUGACUUGGGGAUACUUGCAUGUAAUUAUGCAGAAUUUACUGUUAUUAUAAUAGUCAGUACAUGUAACAUGUAACAAGGACACCUGAAUGUGUUCCCCUGAAGACAUCUGCAGAUAAAUAGCCAACAAUGGAAUUGCAUGAGUUCUUAAGACAUUAUUAAAAAACACACAUUUUGAUAGCGAGCAUAACAGGUCUAUCGUAUUUAGCUACAUCAUUAACAAAUCUAAAGAGAACAGUUUUUAUCCUUUUUGCACACAUUCACCCGAUCAUCCUCCUCGCAGACGGAGAGUCAUGUGAAUGCUGCUUCCUGAGCUGAUGUCGUAUUCCUGCAACUUUCUGCCGGACUCCAGCUGUCUUCCGUUGAAAAUCAGUCUCUGCUGGUCCACGGGG